CUUUGGCAUCUUGCACAUCCCCUCAGGGUUGACCCUGCCUCCUCCGGACGUCCCAUGCUAAGCCUUCAAUCCCUCUGGAAUGAUGGGACAGGGGAGGGGAGAGUGGGGCAGAUCCUGAUCUACAGUGAGCACAGAGGUGUGCCAGGGGGGCAUCUAAGUGGAGAAGGGACACCAGAGUCCACUUCCCAGACCCCCCGCCCCACGCUGACUCUGACCCACUUUCUCCGCCUUCCCUGGGGGCUCAGAGGCAGAGCCCAAGGCUGGGAGGCGGGACGCCGAGGUUCCUGGCUCCACCCCACGCCUAUGCCCCAGUUUCUCUGGUCACCCAGAAAGGAGGGGGCAGCCAGGAAAGGGAAGGAGAGAAAGUGUGCAGCGAGCUGGGAGGUGCUGGGCAAGCAGGUGUUGUCAUGAAGCUUCUCUCCCUCCCAAGCUGGGGCUAAGGAACCUGGCCACCUUCUCUCCUGGGGCCCUGUCGCCCCACAGACUGGCUCGAGCCUCACCCUUGCCCUCUCCUCUGGGCAACAGCAUGGAGGACAGGGCGGGGACCAGAGUGGGCCCAGGCUGGCCAGGGGCACAGUCUGUCAGUCCUUCAGUCCCACUAAGGGGAGCAGAAAUGAAAAUAAAGCCUCGCUCCUCAAGUCCCCUGUUGCCUGAAGAGAAGCCAGCCCCCGGUAGUGGCCUCCGCAGGGAAGCGGGCAGCCCAUCAGCGGCUCUGCCUGUACUCCCGAGACUGCAGGAGAGGCAAAUCAGGUCAAACGCUGGCCCUCGGCCCGGCCCAGAGGGAAGUUCCUGCACUGAGAGAAAUGGAGGGAAACUGCCCCUCACCCAGGCCUGCCGUUCUGCGCCCUAAGGAGAGAGAACCCCACAGCCUCAUACUCUUCCUGGGGCGCCCUGUGAGGUAUCUACCCGGGAUGUGGACAUCCAGCUACAAUUCGUGGUUUCAUUUGACUUCCAUGGAGUCCAAGCAUGUGGUUUCCAGGUUUCUGCCAGGCGCCGGACAC